rnacentral:rRNA from 1 species
UGGGGGAUAUUGGACAAUGGGGGAAACCCUGAUCCAGCGACGCCGUGUGGGUGAUGAAGGCUUUCGGGUCGUAAAGCCCUGUCAGGAGGAAAGAACGCUCUUAUGGUAAAUACCCAUAGGAAGUGACGGUACCUCCAAAGGAAGCACCGGCCAACUCCGUGCCAGCAGCCGCGGUAAGACGGAGGGUGCAAGCGUUGCUCGGAAUCACUGGGCGUAAAGGGUGCGUAGGCGGUCUCUUAAGUCUGGCGUGAAAGCCCAGGGCUCAGCCUUGGAAGUGCGCUAGAAACUGGGAGGCUUGAGUAUCGGAUGGGAGAGUGGAAUUCCUGGUGUAGCGGUGAAAUGCGUAGAUAUCAGGAGGAAUACCGGUGGCGAAGGCGACUCUCUGGACGAUAACUGACGCUGAGGCACGAAAGCGUGGGGAGCAAACAGGAUUAUAUACC